GCUGCAGUCGAACGGGCCGCAAGGCCAGUGGCGGAAGGGUGAGUAAGGCGACGGCAACCAACCCCGGGCUUGGGCAUAGCCGGCGGAAACGCCGGGUAAUUCCCAGCGACGUCCAUGGGGGGCAUCCCCCGAGGACCAAAGGUGCGAUUCCGGCACGGGACGGGCCGUCGUGGUAUUAGGUCGUUGGUGGGGUCACGGCCCACCAAGCCGAUGAUGCCUACCGGGCGUGAGAGCGUGGCCCGGCACACUGGGACUGAGACACUGCCCAGACACCUACGGGUGGCUGCAGUCGAGAAUCUUCGGCAAUGGGCGCAAGCCUGACCGAGCGACGCCGCGUGGAGGACGAAGGCCUUCGGGUUGUAAACUCCUGUCGAGGGGGAUGAAGGGGCGGCGAAGAGCCGUCCUUGACAGAUCCCUGGAGGAAGCACGGGCUAAGUUCGUGCCAGCAGCCGCGGUAAGACGAACCGUGCGAACGUUAUUCGGAUUCACUGGGCUUAAAGCGCGUGUAGGCGGCCCGGCACGUCGGUCGUUGAAAGCCCCCGGCUCAACCGGGGAAUCGGCGCCGAUACGGCCGAGCUGGAGGGGUGUAGGGGGGCCUGGAACUUCCGGUGGAGCGGUGAUAUGCGUUGAGAUCGGAAGGAACGCCCGAGGCGAAAGCGAGGCCCUGGACACUUACUGACGCUGAGACGCGAAAGCCAGGGGAGCAAACGGGAUUAGAUACCCCGGUAGUCCUGGCUGUAAACGAUGGGCACUGGGCAGAGGGAUCGUCCAUGGUCUCUCUGCCGCAGCGAAAACGUGAAGUGCCCCGCCUAGGGAGUAUGUCGCAAGGCUUGAAACUCAAAGGAAUUU
rnacentral:rRNA from 1 species